CUGUACCGAAGUGCGACCCAAAAGCAGUAUCCAAUGCAGAGAAUAAUUGCGCCACAAAAUACAAGCAGUUGUACGGCCUUACUACGCGAAAACCUGAUGAGAAGCAAAAGCCGGCAGGUCUGAGCCCCGAGAUUGACAAGCAGCGGUGCUGUUCCAUGGAAUACAGCAAGAAUUGCGUUACGGAAGUACUAAAGGACAAACGAUGCGGUGAUGAAUUCAGCGCAUCUUUUCUUGAGCAGAAAAAGAAGAUAAUGGCAAAUGUGUGUGGUACGUCGAAAUUGGACUGUGAAUUCGACAAAAGCGAGAGUGCUGGGUGCAUGAACUAUCCAGCAUGGACUCUGGCAGCAGCCGUCAUUGUGGCUUCAGUGAUGAAGGUAGUGUGACGUCAGUUGUAGUGAAAAAAGGGAUCUACUGGUUUCCAUUUCACUUGUUCGGGCCAAUUGAUUACAAUAAAUAUGGUUGUGUGACCGA